UCUAAUAUGGCAGAAUAGUGCCAAGGAUUUAAACUCCUUAUAUAAAGUUAAUCCUUUUUUUAGAA
rnacentral:tRNA from 1 species